UGGCGAACGGGUGAGUAACGCGUGAGUAACCUGCCCUGGAGUGGGGGACAACAGUUGGAAACGACUGCUAAUACCGCAUAAGCCCACGGCCCGGCAUCGGGCUGAGGGAAAAGGAUUUAUUCGCUUCAGGAUGGACUCGCGUCCAAUUAGCUAGUUGGUGAGGUAACGGCCCACCAAGGCGACGAUUGGUAGCCGGACUGAGAGGUUGAACGGCCACAUUGGGACUGAGACACGGCCCAG
rnacentral:rRNA from 1 species